rfam:Felis catus isolate Cinnamon breed Abyssinian chromosome A1, whole genome shotgun sequence.
GCCUGGGUGGCUCAGUCGGUUGAGCGUCUGACUUCAGCUCAGGUCACGAUCUCAUGGCUUGUGAGUUUGAGCCCCGCAUCGGGCU